rnacentral:rRNA from 1 species
CGAGCGGUAUUGUUUCUUCGGAAAUGAGAGAGCGGCGUACGGGUGCGGAACACGUGUGCAACCUGCCUUUAUCUGGGGGAUAGCCUUUCGAAAGGAAGAUUAAUACUCCAUAAUAUAUUGAACGGCAUCGUUUAAUAUUGAAAGCUCCGGCGGAUAGAGAUGGGCACGCGCAAGAUUAGCUAGUUGGUGAGGUAACGGCUCACCAAGGCGAUGAUCUUUAGGGGGCCUGAGAGGGUGAUCCCCCACGCUGGUACUGAGACACGGACCAGACUCCUACGGGAGGCAGCAGUGAGGAAUAUUGGUCAAUGGGUGCAAGCCUGAACCAGCCAUCCCGCGUGAAGGACGACUGCCCUAUGGGUUGUAAACUUCUUUUGUAUAGGGAUAAACCUACCCUCGUGAGGGUAGCUGAAGGUACUAUACGAAUAAGCACCGGCUAACUCCGUGCCAGCAGCCGCGGUAAUACGGAGGGUGCAAGCGUUAUCCGGAUUUAUUGGGUUUAAAGGGUCCGUAGGCGGACUUAUAAGUCAGUGGUGAAAGCCUGUCGCUUAACGAUAGAACUGCCAUUGAUACUGUAAGUCUUGAGUAUAUUUGAGGUAGCUGGAAUAAGUAGUGUAGCGGUGAAAUGCAUAGAUAUUACUUAGAACACCAAUUGCGAAGGCAGGUUACCAAGAUAUUACUGACGCUGAGGGACGAAAGCGUGGGGAGCGAACAGGAUUAAAUACCCUGGUAGUCCACGCCGCAAACGAUGCUAACUCCUUUUUGGGCUUUA